UCUACGGGAGGCAGCAGUAGGGAAUCUUCCACAAUGGGCGAAAGCCUGAUGGAGCAACGCCGCGUGUGUGAUGAAGGGUUUCGGCUCGUAAAACUCUGUUAUUAGGGAAGAACAUAUGUGUAAGUAACUGUGCACAUCUUGACGGUACCUAAUCAGAAAGCCACGGCUAACUACGUGCCAGCAGCCGCGGUAAUA
rnacentral:rRNA from 1 species